AGUCGGAUAGAUUUUGAGUUCUUUGAAGGCAUCUAUUAUUUCUGUGGAUCCAGCUUCCUUUCAUUUACCCAUCCAGUCUAUAAUUUGAUUUUGAGAUCAAAUAACUCAUAAAUCGGAAAUUCACAGAAAGUCAGAAGAAGCUUCCCCGAUGUCGAAGCAGGAUGCUUCCGGGUUGAAUUUUUGUGUUGAAAUGGCCACAAACGGUCAUUCGGGCUACCCAUUGAAGUGGUUUAAAGACCAGAAUGCUGCAAGACAUUCUUGGGAAUGUGUUAUUUGUUUGGAAGUUUUAAAAGAUCCCGUCCAAGUGCGAGACUGUGGACAUCAAUUUUGUGCCCUCUGCAUUGACGAUAUUCUCAAGUAAGUUUCACUUUUUUAAAAUCAUAUUUUAAAAUAUAUUUCAAAGUAGAGUGUUUCUAUGGGUUGUAAUAUAAACCCCUUGCCUUCUUGGUACGUUUCCUGGUAGACAAAGGUUUUUCAAAAGCU